rnacentral:rRNA from 1 species
GACGAACGCUGGCGGCGUGCUUACCCAUGCAAGUCGCACGGAAAGGCCCUGCUUUUGUGGGGUGCUCGAGUGGCGAACGGGUGAGUAACACGUGAGUAACCUGCCCUUGACUUUGGGAUAACUUCAGGAAACUGGGGCUAAUACCGGAUAGGAGCUCCUGCUGCAUGGUGGGGGUUGGAAAGUUUCGGCGGUUGGGGAUGGACUCGCGGCUUAUCAGCUUGUUGGUGGGGUAGUGGCUUACCAAGGCUUUGACGGGUAGCCGGCCUGAGAGGGUGACCGGCCACAUUGGGACUGAGAUACGGCCCAGACUCCUACGGGAGGCAGCAGUGGGGAAUAUUGCACAAUGGGCGGAAGCCUGAUGCAGCAACGCCGCGUGCGGGAUGACGGCCUUCGGGUUGUAAACCGCUUUCGCCUGUGACGAAGCGUGAGUGACGGUAAUGGGUAAAGAAGCACCGGCUAACUACGUG